rnacentral:lncRNA from 1 species
GGGUUAGGAGGAUAUUACACAUUCUAGUCUGGACCAAGAAUUAUGAUUCAGAGCUUUUAAAAUAACAUAUCAUAGAUCUUUGGGUUAUCUUAGGAAUAGUCAAUGCUACACCAAGUAUUAAAUGUGAGAGUCAGAGAUCUCUUGUACUAAUGGGGGAGCAUACGACAUCCAGCACCACCCUCGGUCCUUCCACACUUAUUCUCUGCACAGAUUAGAAGUUACUACAAUUACUGAUGGACUGUGUCAGACCCCUAGGUGUAUUAGGACAGAAGACAACUUAUCCUCAUCCCACAGCCCCAGAGCAUACACUGGACAGCUGCUUUGAUUUCUUAUGAAAAAGCUUUCCUUUGAUUUGUGGGAUAAGUUGAUGUCUCAUUUCUGUCUUCAGGAAUAUGUAUUACCUGAAAGCAGAGAGCAGUUGUUGCAUUGGAUCAUUCAGAGAGUAUGCAGCCACAACCAUGCCUUAGAUGUGUGUAAUUCAAGUGGAGAAGACACAAGCCAGUGGUUGCAAUAUCAUCAACACUUGAGUGUUCUGUAAUCGGAUUGGUGUCAGCAGAAAACCAACAACGAUGUGGUGGCACACAGUGAACUGACCAGACCCAGGCAGCAGUGGCUCUUUUGGUGGCAAUGGUGCCAAGUCACAGGUACUCUCCUUGCUAAUGGCAGAUACCAACAGGCAGACUAUUGCCUGCGUUUAGCUCUGUU